UACGUAGGGGCUAGCGUUGUCCGGAUUAUUGGCGUAAAGAGCGUGUAGGCGGCCAGGUAGGUCUGCUGUGAAAACUCGAGGCUUAACCUCGAGAUGUCCGGCGGAAACCAUCUGGCUAGAGUCCGGAAGAGGAGAGUGGAAUUCCUGGUGUAGCGGUGAAAUGCGCAGAUAUCAGGAAGAACACCCGUGCGAAGGCGGCUCUCUGGGACGGUACUGACGCUGAGACGCGAAAGCGUGGGGAGCGAACAGG
rnacentral:rRNA from 1 species